ACCCGCACAAGCGGUGGAUGAUGUGGUUUAAUUCGAUGCAACGCGAAAAACCUUACCCACCUUUGACAUGUACGGAACCCUUUUAGAGAUAGAGGGGUGCUCGAAAGAGAGCCGUAACACAGGUGCUGCAUGGCUGUCGUCAGCUCGUGUCGUGAGAUGUUGGGUUAAGUCCUGCAACGAGCGCAACCCUUGUCAUUAGUUGCUACAUUUAGUUGGGCACUCUAAUGAGACUGCCGGUGACAAGCCGGAGGAAGGUGGGGAUGACGUCAAGUCCUCAUGGCCCUUAUAGGUGGGGCUACACACGUCAUACAAUGGCUGGUACAAAGGGUUGCCAACCCGCGAGGGGGAGCUAAUCCCAUAAAGCCAGUCGUAGUCCGGAUAAAAGUCUGCAACUCGACUACGUGAAGACGGAAUCGCUUUACUAAUCAGGAUGUCACGRUGAAUACGUGCCCGGGCAGGCAGCAGUGGGGAAUUUUGGACAAUGCUUUUGCAAGCCUGAUCCAGCAAUGCCGCGUGCAGGAUGAAGGCCUUCGGGUUGUAAACUGCUUUUGUACGGAGCGAAAAGGCUUCUCCUAAUACGAGGGGUUCAUGACGGUACCGUAAGAAUAAGCACCGGCUAACUACGUGCCAGCAGCCGCGGUAAUACGUAGGGUGCGAGCGUUAAUCGGAAUUACUGGGCGUAAAGCGUGCGCAGGCGGUUUUGUAAGACAGAUGUGAAAUCCCCGGGCUCAACCUGGGACCUGCAUUUGUGACUGCAAGGCUAGAGUACGGUAGAGGGGGAUGGAAUUCCGCGUGUAGCAGUGAAAUGCGUAGAUAUGCGGAGGAACACCGUAUGGCGAAGGUAAUCCCUUGGGACCUGUACUUGAUUCUCAUGCAACAAAUUCUUGGGGAGCAUACGGUAUUUGAAAC
rnacentral:rRNA from 1 species